rnacentral:rRNA from 1 species
CGGGCACCGCUAUUGGAAUACGAUUAAGGCAUGCGAGUCGAGAGGGGUUAAGCCCUCGGCACACGGCUGAGUAACACGCGGAUAAUCUGCCCUAAGGUGGAGGAUAAUCUCGGGAAACUGAGGAUAAUACUCCAUAGGCCUGGAAUACUGGAAUGUCUCCAGGCUGAAAGUUUCGGCGCCUUAGGAUGAGUCUGCGGCCUAUCAGGUUGUAGUGGGUGUAAUGGACCCACUAGCCUACGACGGGUAGGGGCGUUGAGAGACGGAGCCCCCAGAUGGAUUCUGAGACACGAAUCCAGGUCCUACGGGGCGCAGCAGCUGCGAAACCUUCGCAAUGUGGGGAACCACGACGAGGGAAUUCCAAGUGCUAAUGCAAUGCAUUAGCUGUUCUCCUGUCUAAAAAACAGGUGAAGUAAGGGCUGGGUAAGACGGGUGCCAGCCGCCGCGGUAAUACCCGCAGCCCGAGUGGUGCUCGAUUUUAUUGAGCUUAAAGCGUACGUAGCCGGUCUUGUAAAUCCUUGGGUAAAUCGGGCAGCUUAACUGUUCGACUUCCGAGGAGACUGCAUGACUUGGGACCGGGAGAGGUUAGAGGUACCUUCGGGGUAGGGGUAAAAUCCUGUAAUCCUGAGGGGACCACCAGUGGCAAAGGCGUCUACUAGAACGGAUCCGACGGUGAGGAACGAAGCCCUGGGGCGCAAACGGGAUUAGAUACCCCGGUAGUCCAGGGUGUAAACGCUGCGGGCUUGGUGUCGGGGGUCCUACGGGGGCGCCCGGUGCCGGAGAGAAAUUGUUAAGCCUGCCGCUUGGGGAGUACGGUCGCAAGACUGAAACUUAAAGGAAU